CCGACCAAUAAGAUGAGCUUCUGAGGCUACCGGCGCGCUAUCCCUUUGCUUCUAGUCGGCAGGGUGACGUCACGAGGGCGAACGUUACCAUAGAGAGAGCGAUGAAUGGGCGCCAUGUGGUUCCUGCUGCAGAGAUCUGAACAAUCUUCUGGUUACUGUAUGUUCGUGCCCUGGGAGACUACCCCGGCCGGCGGUGUCUGCAACCAGUUUCUGCAUGAACUAGAGGUUGGAGCCGAAGACCUCUGGUGCUGCAGCGACCUUCUUGAGAUACUGCAUCCAAAUACUACGGUCUUAUGUUAAUUGAUAAAAUGUAUCACAUGUGUUUUGGAAUGUGCACUACGGGGGAGGGCUCUGGGAGCAGGAUGAUGUGUAUUGUAUGUGAAUAGCG